UCUCUCUCUCAUCUCUAUUUUUGCAAUUUUGCUUGGUUUUGUUGGAGGCAUUUUGCAAUUUUGUGGGUAUUUGGUACCUUGGGUGUUGCAAUUUUGCUUGCUCAUCUGUUCUUAUGAUUUGGCGUGUAAUUUUUCUUGGUUUAUGCUUUUUUUUCUAAUAUAUCAUCAAGUAACUUUCUUUAUUUUUGUUGUAAUUCUGCUAAGGAAUAUGUAUUUUGGA
rnacentral:misc_RNA from 1 species